AAUUAAGUUCUAUUAUAAGUGAGUUUAGCAGCACAAACUCUUAGCAAGAGUUGCGGAUGCACUUGAAUUUUUAAAACAUCUUGGUAUUAGUGACUUUCAAGGUUGUGAAACAACAAUAGAAUUCAUCAGAAGGAUAGAUUCUUUAUUUGAUAUUCUCAAUUCCUGAAGUGUACGUGCUAGAAUUUUAAGGCACCUUUGAGAGAAAACAAUGAAGAAAUGUGGCGUCCAUUUCUCAUCGACACCAGUGAGUAUCUUCUGAAUUUGAAGGAUGUCACUGGCGGGCCUUUGUGGUGCACGCCCCGAAAAACGUCAAUUCUGGGCUUUGUUAUUUCCGCUACGUCGUUCAUGGGAAUUUUUGAUGAAUUUGUUAGUAGUAAGAGGUUGAAUGACUUGCUAACAUAAAUGUAGUCAAGAUCAUCUAGAAAUUUUCUUCUGCUCAGUGCGGUAAGCUUUUAAAAAAACAAUUGUAUUACUUUUUUAUGCACUGGAAUUACACAAAUCUGUAUUUAUUUUUCUGUUUUCAGAUCGAGAAAUGGGUGAAACAAUAACCCUACUCCUCUACGAUUUUGUAAAACUUAGAAGAUUGCUUCUAUUUACAAACAUAACGAGGGAAGGAGGAAAUUGUAAAGUGCUUUGCACCACCUGUCUGCUCUCUGUUAGCAUUGGCCCAAAGCAAAAGAGCACAAAUGUUCAACAAUCAGUUGACGUGUUUGUCUUGAAAAAAUAUGAUCUCGAUAUUUUGACUGAAGCACUUGCAGAUCAUGACUAUGAACGUCUAAUUUUAUUGGGCAGAGUGAAGUGGCAGAAAACGUGGCAUAUAUUGGUAGCUAUGUUGUCAAAAUGCUGGUGAAGACGUUUAAGUGCGCAGACUGCAUUUCUUCUUGCAUUGAAACACGAGGAAGUGACUUACAGUUUUACAGAUUAUUGGACAAAAAAAACAUGGGUGGGCUUAUUAAACCUUUUGCUGGGGUUGUGAAGACUUGUUGUUACUGUUAAUACGAAAAAUUUUGCAACUCACCGAUAAACUUCCAAGCGAUGAACAAUUUUUUAAAACUUUCGGCAUGCCAGCAUUCUUUUUCCUAAUUUAGAAGACCCACGCACUCGAGACGGUGGCCAUCGAUGAAGGCCAUUUAUAUAUUCUUAUUAAACAAAUAAUUAAUGCCUACAUGCGAAUAAGAAUGUUUAAUUUGAGCAAAAGACUUUCAUGUCUUGCUCAAGGCACUUCUGUUAGACAUGUGUACACAUAAUUAGUACUGUUUUCGCAUCAAUAAAUAUAUUGAAGUAUAA